GUCUCACGAUCGGCUCACCUUGAAUACAUUAGCUGGACUUGUCCUUGUAGACUGGUUUGACUUGGCGUAAUAAGUGUUUCGCUGAGGACAUUGCUUCGGUGAUGGCCAAUCCGCUCGACGAUUGUCUGCUUUCCAACCUGUCUUCGGACAAUACUCUAUGAUCUGGCCUCAAAUCAGGUAGGACUACCCGCUGAACUUAA
rnacentral:misc_RNA from 1 species